rnacentral:rRNA from 1 species
CCCUUAGAUGUCCGGGGCUGCACGCGCGCUACACUGAAGGAAUCAGCGUGCUAAAACCAUUGUCGAAAGGCAUUGGUAAACCCAUUAAAAUCCUACGUGAUUGGGAUCGGGAAUUGCAAUUAUUUCCCUUGAACGAGGAAUUCCCAGUAAGUGUGGGUCAUAGGCUCGCGUUGAUUACGUCCCUGCCCUUUGUACACACCGCCCGUCGCUGCCCGGGACUGAGCCGUUUCGAGAAAAGCGGGGACUGCUGCUGUCGGGGCUUUCGGGCCUUGGCUUCGGUGGAAACCGCUUUAAUCGCAGUGGCUUGAACCGGGCAAAAGUCGUAACA